rnacentral:rRNA from 1 species
GUGCCAGCAGCCGCGGUAAUACAGAGGGUGCAAGCGUUAAUCGGAAUUACUGGGCGUAAAGCGCGCGUAGGCGGUAUGUUAAGUCGGAUGUGAAAUCCCUGGGCUCAACCUAGGCAUUGCAUCCGAUACUGGCACACUAGAGUGUGGGAGAGGAAGGUAGAAUUCCAGGUGUAGCGGUGAAAUGCGUAGAGAUCUGGAGGAAUACCGAUGGCGAAGGCAGCCUUCUGGCCUAACACUGACGCUGAGGUGCGAAAGCAUGGGGAGCAAACAGGAUUAGAUACCCUGGUAGUCCAUGCCGUAAACGAUGUCAACUAGCCGUUGGGCUCCUUGAGGGCUUAGUGGCGCAGCUAACGCGAUAAGUUGACCGCCUGGGGAGUACGGUCGCAAGACUAAAACUCAAAGAAAUUGACGG